UGCAAUUUGCAUCUCUCUCGUUCAUUGCACCGACACAUAUUAUAUACUGUUUUUUUUUUUUAAAGGACACAAAGGGCUUUAAUUUGAUGUAACAUAUAUAUCAUCAAAUUAAAGCCCUUUCUGUCCUUUAAAAAAAGAAACAGUAUAUAAUAUGUGUCGAUGCAAUGAACGAGAGAGAUGCAAAUUGCA